UACAGGGGGUGCAAGCGUUACUCGGAUUUACUGGGCGUAAAGAGCGUGUAGGCGGUUUGUUAAGUCUGGUGUGAAAUCCCUGGGCUCAAUCCGGGAAGUGCAUCGGAUACUGGCAAACUAGAGUGCAGGAGGGGUGAGCGGAAUUCCCGGUGUAGAGGUGAAAUUCGUAGAUAUCGGGAGGAACAACAGAGGCGAAGGCGGCUCACUGGACUGAUACUGACGCUAAGGCGCGAAAGCUAGGGGAGCAAACAGG
rnacentral:rRNA from 1 species